AUCUAGUCUGUAGAGAGUGAUAGGGUUGCCAAUGAAAGAACUCAGUGGGGAAACCCCCACUCAACUCCCGAUUCGGCGUGCACCCAAGAAUCACGAAUAGAACA
rnacentral:pre_miRNA from 7 species